CCAGUUUCGCGAAGGCUCUCGGUGUGCUGCGGCCCACAGGCACCCAGCACGCGCCUUCCCCGCCGCCGGGAUGCUCAAGAGGAAGGUCAGCUCCACCGAAGGGGCCACCAAGGAAGAGCCCAAGAGGAGAUCAGCGAGGUUGUCAGCUAAACCUCCUGCCAAAGUGGAAGCGAAGCCGAAAAAGGCAGCAGCGAAGGAUAAAUCUUCAGACAAAAAAGUGCAAACAAAAGGGAAAAGGGGAGCAAAGGGAAAACAGGCCAAAGUGGCUAACCAAGAAACUAAAGAAGAUUUACCUGCAGAAAACGGGGAAACGAAAACUGAGGAGAGUCCAGCCUCUGAUGAAGCAGGAGAGAAAGAAGCCAAGUCUGAUUCAUACCAUGUCUUACCAGUGGUCCCUGUCUCUCUUCUUGUACAAUCCAGAGGAAUAUCUUUAUCAACUAUUUUGUAAAUGCAAGUUUUUUAGUAGCUCUAGAAACAUUUUUAAGAAGGAGGGAAUCGCACCUCAUCCCAUUUUUUAAGUGUAAAUGCUUUCUUUAAAGAGGUG